rnacentral:rRNA from 1 species
GACGAACGCUGGCGGCGUGCUUAACACAUGCAAGUCGAGCGGAAAGGCCCUGCUUUUGUGGGGUGCUCGAGUGGCGAACGGGUGAGUAACACGUGAGUAACCUGCCCUUGACUUUGGGAUAACUUCAGGAAACUGGGGCUAAUACCGGAUAGGAGCUCCUGCUGCAUGGUGGGGGUUGGAAAGUUUCGGCGGUUGGGGAUGGACUCGCGGCUUAUCAGCUUGUUGGUGGGGUAGUGGCUUACCAAGGCUUUGACGGGUAGCCGGCCUGAGAGGGUGACCGGCCACAUUGGGACUGAGAUACGGCCCAGAAUCCAACGGGAGGCAGCAGUGGGGAAUAUUGCACAAUGGGCGGAAGCCUGAUGCAGCAACGCCGCGUGCGGGAUGACGGCCUUCGGGUUGUAAACCGCUUUCGCCUGUGACGAAGCGUGAGUGACGGUAAUGGGUAAAGAAGCACCGGCUAACUACGUG